rnacentral:lncRNA from 1 species
GAAAAAUUUGUUUUGAAUUCUUAACUUCUAUUUUGUUGCCAUCUGUUUCGAUUCUUUCAUGCUGAAAAUUUAAGUUUUCUAUAUUACUGUUAUUACUUAUCAAAGUGUUGACGAAACAUUUUUAUUUUAUUGUAUCUUAUAGAUUAACUGUUUCUUUGCCUGAACCUUAUGGCCAUUAUAGAGUAAUCGGAAAAGUUGAGGUGAGAAGAAAAGAAGAAGAUUGGAUGGACUAUUUUCGUGGUGAUAACUGGCGAGUCCAUCCUGAUUGGGUAUAUUGUGAAAACCCCCAAAAAAAGGAUGAUGGUUAUACAUCUGCUGAAGACAGUAUUAGAACGUUUUGAACUGACUCUCUUGCUAAUCAAAAUUUUAGAUGGAGAACAAGCAGCACCCGUCCCCCAAUAUUUGACAAACCAAUAUGUGAAAAAGAUUUAAUACAAAGUCUGAUGCUAAAGCAACUUCUGUUGAAUGUGAAAAAAUAACAUUAAUGGAUGAGUAAGCAAUAAUUUUUUCAUAUUAUUGAUAAAUCAUAAGAAUGAAACAUCCAGUUUUAUUACAUUGUAUUCUUCAUGAAGAAACAAUUAUAAUAAUUGAUAAAGAAUUGAACGAUUAUUCUUUUAUCAGCUUCCUUCAACAUUUUUAAUUUUUGUUUGAAACGUAUGAUGUUUACAUUGGUUACAAGCAGCCAUU